rnacentral:rRNA from 1 species
UACGGGGGGGGGCAAGCGUUGUUCGGAAUUACUGGGCGUAAAGGGCUCGUAGGCGGCCAACUAAGUCAGACGUGAAAUCCCUCGGCUUAACCGGGGAACUGCGUCUGAUACUGGAUGGCUUGAGUUUGGGAGAGGGUGGCGGAACACCCGGUGUAGAGGUGAAAUUCGUAGAUAUCGGGUAGAACACCAGUGGCGAAGGCGGCCACCUGGACGGACACUGACGCUGAGACGCGAAAAGCGUGGGGAGCAAACAGG